rnacentral:hammerhead_ribozyme from 1 species
AUCCAGCUGACGAGUAGGACGAAACGCGCGUCCUAGAU